UACAGAGGGUGCAAGCGUUGUCCGGAAUUAUUGGGCGUAAAGAGCUCGUAGGCGGUUUGUCGCGUCGGAUGUGAAAGCCCGGGGCUUAACCCCGGGUCUGCAUUCGAUACGGGCAGACUGGAGUGUGGUAGGGGAGAUCGGAAUUCCUGGUGUAGCGGUGAAAUGCGCAGAUAUCAGGAGGAACACCGGUGGCGAAGGCGGAUCUCUGGGCCAUUACUGACGCUGAGGAGCGAAAGCGUGGGGAGCGAACAGG
rnacentral:rRNA from 1 species